rnacentral:rRNA from 1 species
AGUAGCUAUCUCUCGGGGUGGUCAAUUGGUUGUUAUAUCUCCACUAAUAAGCAGAGAGGGGUUAAACCUUUGAAGUAAGUUAUGUGGGUCAAGGUAUAAUGAUUAAUUGGAGUUCUAGUUCAUUUACUUUGAGAAAAUUAGAGUGCUAAAAGCAGGCUCACGCCUAUAUAUAUUGCAUGGAAUAAUGAAAUAAGAUCUCGAUUUUAUUUCGUUGGUUUUAGAAAUUGAGAUAAUGAUUAAUAGGAUCAGAGGGGGGCGUACGUACUGUGGUGUGAGAGGUGAAAUUCUUGGAUCGCCACAGGACGAACAGCAGCGAAGGCGUUCGCCAAGAAUGUUUUCAUUAAUCAAGAACGAAAGUUUUGAGGUUCGAAGACGAUUAGAUACCGUCCUAGUUCAAACCAUAAACGUUGCCAACUGUCUUUUAGAUGCGGUUACUCAUAUGACUCAUCUGGCGGAUCGAGAAAUCUAAGUUUUUAGGUUCCGGGGGGAAGUAUGGUUGCAAAGCUGAAACUUAAAAAGAAUUGACGGAAGGAC